rnacentral:tRNA from 1 species
GCCUGGGUGGCUCAGUUGGUUAAGCCCCCGACUUUGGCUCAGGUCAUGAUCUCGCAGUUCGUGAGUUCAAGUCCCACAUCGGGCU